UCGAACGAGAGAGAGGGAGCUUGCUUCCUUGAUCGAGUGGCGAACGGGUGAGUAACGCGUGAGGAACCUGCCUCAAAGAGGGGGACAACAGUUGGAAACGACUGCUAAUACCGCAUAAGCCCACGGUACCGCAUGGUACUGAGGGAAAAGGAUUUAUUCGCUUUAGGAUGGACUCGCGUCCAAUUAGCUAGUUGGUGAGGUAACGGCCCACCAAGGCGACGAUCAGUAGCCGGCCUGAGAGGGUGAACGGCCACAUUGGGACUGAGACACGGCCCAAACUCC
rnacentral:rRNA from 1 species